ACGGAAGAGGAACGGGAGAUCAGUCAGCCGCUCAGCCCGUCCAUCCUAAUCCUUUGUGCGAGCAUGUCUCCCAUAUGGAGUUCAGAGCAGCCUUCACUACCCUAUCUCAUUCUAUGGCAGCCCAAAAUAAAUGCCUAACUAUAGUUUCGGCCAACCCAGUGGCCAAUACUAUUGCUGCCAGGAUUUGAGACUUCACUCGAAUGAACCCUCCAUCGUUUAC
rnacentral:lncRNA from 1 species